GAAUUUUGGACAAUGGGCGAAAGCCUGAUCCAGCAAUGCCGCGUGCAGGAUGAAGGCCUUCGGGUUGUAAACUGCCUUUGUACGGAAUGAAAAGCUUCGGGUUAAUACCCUGGCGUCAUGCCGGUACCGCAAGAAUAAGCACCGCCUAACUACGUGCCAGCAGCCGCGGUAAUACGUAGGGUGCAAGCGUUCAUCGGAAUUACUGGGCGUAAAUCGUGCGCAGGCGGUUUUGUAAGACAGAGGUGAAAUCCCCGGGCUCAACCUGGGAACUGCCUUUGUGACUACAAGGCUAGAGUACGGCAGAGGGGGGUGGAAUUCCGCGUGUAGCAGUGAAAUGCGUAGAUAUGCGGAGGAACACCGAUGGCGAAGGCAACCCCCUGGGCCUAUACUGACGCUCAUGCACGAAAGCGUGGGGAGCAAACA
rnacentral:rRNA from 1 species